GUAAAAAUAAUUUUUAAAAUAUGAAUUUUUUAUAUAUAACAUUAGAAUGAUCAUUAAGAGUAUUAUAGAAUUUUAAAAAAUACUUAAUAUGAAAAUAUAUAUUUAUUAACCUUUUGAUGAUAACUGUUUUGAAUUAAAAUUCAAAUAAUUUAUUUUUAAAUAAUUAUUUUUAUU
rnacentral:tRNA from 1 species